AUUGAACGCUGGCGGCAGGCCUAACACAUGCAAGUCGAGCGCGCGGCGGACGGGUGAGGAAUGUCUGGGAAACUGCCUGAUGGAGGGGGAUAACUAAUGGAAACGGUAGCUAAUACCGCAUACCAUCAGAUGUGCCCAGAUGGGAUUAGCUAGUUGGUGGGGUAAUGGCGCACCUAGGCAACGAUCCCUAGCUGGUCUGAGAGGUGGACCAGCCACACUGGAACUGAGACACGGUCCAGACUCCUACGGGAGGCAGCAGUGGGGAAUGUUGGACAAUGGGCGCAAGCCUGAUGCAGCCAUGCCGCGUGUGUGAAGAAGGCCUUCGGGUUGUAAAGCACUUUCGGCAGGGAGGCGUUACCCGCAGAGGAAGCACCGGCUAACUCCGUGCCAGCAGCCGCGGUAAUUC
rnacentral:rRNA from 1 species